GGGGCGGGGGCACCCACGCCUACGGGGGGCAGCAGUGGGGAAUAUUGCACAAUGGGCGAAAACCCCCGCAGCCACAACCCGUGAGUGAAAAAAUAUUUCUUUAUGUAAAAAUCUAUCAGCAGGGAGGAAUAAAUGACGGUACCCGAAUAAGAAACCCCGGCUAAAUACGUGCCACCACCCCCGGUAAUAUGUAGGGGGCAAACGUUUUCCCGAUUUUUUGGGUGUAAAAGGAGCGUAGACGGUGAUGUAAAUCAGAUGUGAAAACCCCGGGCUCAACCCCGGGACUGCAUUUGAAAAUAUGUUUCUAGAGUGCAGGAGAGGUAAAUGGAAUUCCUAGUGUAGCGGUGAAAUGCGUAGAUAUUAGGAGGAACACCAGUGGGGAAGGGGGCUUAUUGGACUGUAACUGACGUUGAGGCUCGAAAGCGUGGGGAGCAAACAGGAUUAGAUA
rnacentral:rRNA from 1 species